GGCUGGGUAGCUCAGCUGGUCUAGAGCGCGCGGCUCAUAACCGCGAGGUCGAGGGUUCGAGUCCCUCCCCAGCUA
rnacentral:tRNA from 2 species